UACGUAGGGUGCGAGCGUUGUCCGGAAUUAUUGGGCGUAAAGAGCUUGUAGGCGGUUUGUCGCGUCUGCUGUGAAAGUCCAGGGCUCAACCCUGGGAUGCCGGUGGAUACUGCUGAACUAGAGUGCGGAAGAGGCGAGUGGAAUUCCCGGUGUAGCGGUGAAAUGCGCAGAUAUCGGGAGGAACACCAAUUGCGAAGGCAGCUCGCUGGGACGUUACUGACGCUGAGACGCGAAAGCGUGGGGAGCAAACAGG
rnacentral:rRNA from 1 species